GAUGAACGCUGGCGGCGUGCCUAAUACAUGCAAGUCGAGCGAACGGACGAGAAGCUUGCUUCUCUGAUGUUAGCGGCGGACGGGUGAGUAACACGUGGAUAACCUACCUAUAAGACUGGGAUAACUUCGGGAAACCGUAGCUAAUACCGUAUAAUCUUUUGAACCGCAUGGUUCAAAAGUGAAAGACGGUCUUGCUGUCGCUUAGAGAUGUAUCCGCUCUGCAUUAGCUAGUUGGUAAGGUAACGGCUUACCAAGGCAACGAUGCAUAGCCGACCUCAGAGGGUGGUCGGCGACCCUGGAAGUGAGACACGGUCCAGACUACUACGAGAGGCAGCAGUAGGGAAUCUGACGCAAUGGGGGAAAGCAUGACGGAGCAACGCCGAGUGAGUGAUGAAGGUCUCCCGAUCGUAAAACUCUGUUAUUAGGGAAGAACCUAUGUGUAAGUAAAUGUGCAGAUCUUGACGGUACCUAAUCAGAAAGCGACGGCUAACUACGUG
rnacentral:rRNA from 1 species